UACGUAGGGUGCAAGCGUUGUCCGGAAUUAUUGGGCGUAAAGAGCUCGUAGGCGGCUUGUCACGUCUGCUGUGAAAACUCGGGGCUCAACCCCGAGCCUGCAGUGGAUACGGGCUAGCCAGAGUGCGGUAGGGGAGACUGGAAUUCCUGGUGUAGCGGUGAAAUGCGCAGAUAUCAGGAGGAACACCGGUGGCGAAGGCGGGUCUCUGGACCGAUACUGACGCUGAGGAGCGAAAGCGUGGGGAGCGAACAGG
rnacentral:rRNA from 1 species